ACUGCUCUUUGCUGGUGCCGCUGGGUUCCAGUGUGGCCCUGGAUUAGCUGCGGCACUUCUCUGGGCUUGUUUUCUCACUAGGAAAGGUGGGAGUUCUUAUCCUUAUCUCUCACUGCGCAGUGAAUGCGCUUGACCGAUGGCCACUCAAAACCUGUCUCCAGCUGAGCACACCCACUCAGCUCCACUACUGCCGCGCCUUAGGCUAUUCGGCGCCGCCGGGAGCAGGAGCAGGCUUGGUCUGGGGCUCCUUCCUCUUCGUCCCAACCAGAACCUAACACAAUAUCUACGGGGGUCGCUGUGGAUGGGAUAAAUGAAGAGGCCAGCUUCCUGACAGUCUCCCUUCACCCCUGCCCAGAUACCUGCAUCAGGAAGACCUUAGUCUCCUUAGACAGGCAUGGCAGCUGGCGUUCACUGAGCUACUUCUGUGCCCUCAUCACUGCUGCCUAUCUGGGCUCAGAGGCCCACACAGGGCCUUUGAUCACUACCCCGCCACCCUGUGGGAAGACACGAGACUGGCUCAGAGGUCUUGGACGUCCUAGUGAGGGCUCAAUGACAGGUAACUUAGUUGGGCCACCUGAAAUUCAAACCCUGCCCUCCACCCACCCAUCACCUUCUUGGGUCUAUUCAGAGCCCCUCCUGUCUAGCUCUGAGUAUCCAAGUCCUUCCGUGUGUACUUUUCCUUUUCCCACGUGUUUUGGCUUCAAACAUGUUUCACUACAGUGCCUAGGCUGGUCUUGAACACUUGAACUCAUGAUCCUCCUGCUUCAACCUGCCAACCACCAAGAAGACUGGAAUUGUCUCCACCCUGCUCAGUUUUCCUCAUGACGUCAGUUAGCAUGCACUGCAUACCUACAACGCACCUGGCCUGGUGUGUACAAUGCUAUCCCUUACCGGAGCCCGUCUCUCUAGAAUAAACCAGGGAGAGACAUAUCCACGCACAGACUCAAUGCUGGAAGGGCAUCGGAAAACCGCAGGACAUUCUAGCAGGGGCUGGUGUGAAGGAGAGUAAUGGUAGACAUGUUCUAUCUACACUUUUGUGCUUUCCAGGUGUCAAAAGAACAUUUUACCCUUCUGUAAGUGGGAGACGUCAUAAUCAAUGACGUCUUUCAUUUAAAAAGAAAAAUCGAACCUUC